CAGUAGCCGCGGGAAUACGUAGGUGGCAAGCGUUGUCCGGAAUUAUUGGGCGUAAAGGGCCCGCAGGCGGUUUCUUAAGUCUGAUGUGAAAGCCCCCGGCUCAACCGGGGAGGGUCAUUGGAAACUGGGAAACUUGAGUGCAGAAGAGGAGAGUGGAAUUCCACGUGUAGCGGUGAAAUGCGUAGAUAUAUGGAGGAACACCAGUGGCGAAGGCGACUCUCUGGUCUGUAACUGACGCUGAGGCGCGAAAGCGUGGGGAGCAAACAGGAUUAGAUACCCCUGUAGUCCCUGUCUCUUAUAC
rnacentral:rRNA from 1 species